ensembl:snRNA U5 U5 spliceosomal RNA
ACACUCUUGUUUCUCUUCAGAUCGCAUAAAUCUUUCGCCUUUUACUAAAGAUUUCCGUGGGGAGGAACAUCAAGAGUUUUAUCCAAUUUUUUGAUGCCCUGCUUACGUGGGGCU